AUGCCUCUUCCUGUUCCUAGCACUCCUGGGGAAGAUAUAUCUAUGGACUUUGUAUUAGGACUGCCUAGAACACGACGGGGGAGGGAUAGUCUAUUUCUCGUUGUCGAUAGAUUCUCUAAGAUGGCACAUUUUAUACCUUGUCAUAAAAGUGACGAUGCUACUCACAUUGCUGAUUUGUUCUUUAGAGAAGUAGUUCGUUUACAUGGUGUGCCAAAUACAAUUGUUUAUGAUCGUGACAAAAAAUUUCUUAGCCACUUUUGGAGGGUGUUGUGGACAAAAUUGGGGACUAAGCUUUUAUUUAGUAGUACAUGUCAUCUUCAAACAUAUGGUCAAACUGAAGUGGUUAAUCGAACAUUGUCUACUAUGCUUAGGGAUGUUUUGAAAAAGAACUUAAAAAUGUGGGAAGAAAUGCCUGCCUCAUGUAGAGUUUGCUUAUAA
rnacentral:rRNA from 1 species